CCUUGUAAACACAUAAACGUACAACUUUAAAACAUAAAUAUAAAUCUGAACUACAUAUGGAGGAAAAAAUGUUUACUCCACUUAUUAUUAACAUCAGAUGUAACUGUUUAUUGACAAUUAGUGUAUCACAUCAGCCGAAACUGUGAUACAUUUUAACCCUUGCGUUCUCACUCGGAGCCCCGUCUGGUGGGAUGUUUCAGAGUGAUUUACUGUGCAAAGGUCACCAUCUGCCUCCAGUGCCCCCAGAUCCAGAUCCAGACCCCCCCCCUCUUCCCUUCCGAGGUCACACAUCAUGCAGCCUGCAUCAACUCAGGCUGGCCUGUGAAGAGGUGGUCUUGGGCAAAGAUCUGCCUUGAGAGCAGAUGAUUAGAACAAAGUUGUUGUUUCGUACGGGUUAAACGGGUUAAAGUUUUAUUUAUGUGUAAAGUUUUAUUUAUGUCAUGUAAAUAAAUGCAGCUAGACUUUUUCCCCUCAGGAGUAACUUCUCUUACUGUGCAAUUACCGUUAACUUUUAUAUAAUAAAUAAUAAUAAAAUAAAAUAAUAAUAAUAAAAAAAUUAAAUAAUAAAAUAUAUAUAUAUAUAUUUUUAUAUGAAAGCAUUCUCUAUAGCACUGAAACUUCUGCACCAAUGACAAAACAGUAGAAUGGUUUUAGGUUUGUUUAUUAUGAAUAAUAAUCGUGGUAAAAUCUGCAGACACUGUCUAUUCCAUAAUAAAGCAACAUAAAUGUGUAGCAACAAGUUGAUCUUGAAUUUCUAAAGACAGUAACUGAUCCGUUUACGAAAAAAAUAAAUUAUAUGUAUUUUAUCAUAGAUAAAUAGCUAUGUUUCCUGUUUCAUAUAUAAAAGCAUCUUUUUUUUGUUUCUUCUAAAGAGUAUCUGCUACCUGUCUAAUCGUAUGUGAUAAUAUACAUACAAAAUAUGUACAUAAACUCUCAGACAUGACACACACACAUCUGACUGUAUUUAUAUACUAAAAUGUAAAUUUUUUGUAAUCAGGACUGAGUCAAGUUACUGAGACAAAAACCCACUCCAUCUCUGCCAUUACUCAUUUAUAUAUUCAUUUGCUCACUGACAUACUGCUCAUUGCAUAAUAGGUUAUGGUCGCCUAUUGGUUAUGGCUAUGGGCUGGUAACAGGAAGAUUAUAUAUUGUGAUACUAGAGAGUAUUUUUGAUCUAUUUUGAUCCAAGAGCAAUGGUUUUGUAUUGUACAUGACUGACAGAAAUCACUAUACUAUUUGCAUAUUUAAUACUUAUGAAAUGAAUAAACCACACAAAUAAUGCUGCCCUAAAUGAUUUCUACCUGCGCAUAUAUCCAUAUGGACCAUUUAGGCCUUAGAUUACACAAUACCAAUUGCACAACAAAACUGCUCAGUGUUUUAUAAUAAUGAAUUAAAACAAGUAAUGCUAUUGUGGCUUCGAAUCUGUAAUGGCCAUAUUUUGAAGGAGUAGUUCACAGAAAAAUGAAAAUUAGCUAAAACUGUACUCACCCUCAGGCCAUACACGAUGUAAUGGGUGCCGUCAGAAUGAGAGUCCAAACAGCUGAUAAAAACAUCAGUUAACAUCUGGAGAAGCCAAAAGCUGUGUUUUUAAGAAACAAAUCCAUCAAGAUGUUUUUAACUUCGAACCAUUACUAAAAUAGGAGUCCAUAAUCCAUAAUAACACUUCCUCCAGUGAAAAAGUAAUCACAUCUGAAUCAGGAGAGAAAUAUUCUUAACAGCUUAAUUAAAACAGGUUUAAUGAUGGACACCUUAACUGAUGGACUGGAGAGCUGUGGAUAAAUUUUGUGGAUUAUUGUGAUGUUUUUAUCAGCUGUUUGGACUCUCAUUCUGACGGCACCCAUUCACUGCAGAGCAUCCAUUGCUGAGACACUGAUGCAAUGCUACAUUUCUACAAACCUGAUGAAGAAACAAACUCAUCCUAAUUUUGGAUGGCCUGAGGAUGAGCACAUUUAAGCAAAUUUUCAUUUUUGGGUGAACUAUUGCUUUAAUUUACAUGAGGGCAACCAAUAAAAACAGCCAGAAAUAACAAAGCCAAAAAACACAAACAAGAACAUGUCACACAAAAAAUAGACAAAAACAUGAAACACCAAACCAACUGAUAUACAAUCAGAUAAACCAACCUAAAAGAAUAAAGAGUAGAAUACAAAUACAGAGAGCUGAUCAUGAUGCUCA
rnacentral:lncRNA from 1 species